UACGUAGGGGGCUAGCGUUGUCCGGAUUUAUUGGGCGUAAAGAGCGUGUAGGCGGCCAGGUAGGUCUGCUGUGAAAACUCGAGGCUCAACCUCGAGCUGUCGGUGGAAACCGUGUGGCUAGAGUCCGGAAGAGGAGAGUGGAAUUCCCGGUGUAGCGGUGAAAUGCGCAGAUAUCGGGAAGAACACCCGUGGCGAAGGCGGCUCUCUGGGACGGUACUGACGCUGAGACGCGAAAGCGUGGGGAGCGAACAGG
rnacentral:rRNA from 1 species